rnacentral:rRNA from 1 species
UACGUAGGGGGCAAGCGUUGUCCGGAUUUAUUGGGCGUAAAGAGCGUGUAGGCGGCUAGAUAGGUCCGUUGUGAAAACUCGAGGCUCAACCUCGAGACGCCGGUGGAAACCAUCUAGCUAGAGUCCGGAAGAGGAGAGUGGAAUUCCUGGUGUAGCGGUGAAAUGCGUAGAGAUCGGAAAGAACACCAACGGCGAAAGCACUCUGCUGGGCCGACACUGACACUGAGAGACGAAAGCUAGGGGAGCGAAUGGG